ACAAUAAAAUGUGUGUUUCUCUUACUAUGUUUAUAUUUAAUUAUAUUCUUUAGAAGUAUGCUGCAAGAGUAAAGCAUAUAUACUACAAGUAAAUGAAUAUUUGUUCAUUUGUUUUCAUUGUUCGAAUGUUUGUUCAUAGAUAGAUUGGUUUUGAAGACACCAAUACUAACAUAUCUAACCAUAAUGGUAUUUGACAAUAAUGCAUUUUAAGCUAUUGUCGCUUAUUCAUAAUCAAAAACCAUGAAUAUCUUUUAAUUAUUGCUAUAAAUAAUUGGCAAAUAAUUUAAUAAUGACAAAUAUAAAGUAAAAAUGGACAAAAGUGCAAUAGUUUUCGGAAUAUGAAAUGGACGUAGCCUAUAUUCGGUUAUGGAGGUAUUAGUUAAAAAGAAAGUCCUGUUUGUUCACUUACAUUCACUGAAAGGUCAAGACUAAAUAUUAAAACGUGUGUAACCAGUUAAUUUGUCAUAAAUAGUUUGCAAACCGACAUACACGCCUACUAAACGCAAGCUCGAACGUCUUCAUAUUAUCGGUGGUGCAAAUUAAAUGAGCUGGAAAUACUCCCACGGUGCAGCUCUGGCUUUUGUGUUUUGUACACAAGUAUUCAAAAGGAUGAUCCCUACUUGAUUUCAAACGUGGAUGUGCGUGUCUAUUCACCUUGCAGGAGAUUUGUUUGCUGCGUUACUGAUCGGUGAGCACUAAUCACUUCACUUUUGUUUCUGGAAACCGUUACGUAUAGCCGAGGAUAAUCAUCAAUGCUAGCUUUUCGCAAUUAUUUCACAGAAAAUUAACUGUCUUUAACGAGUUUUUCUAUUGACAAAACGUGUGCAAUUAUUUUAAUCGGAUGCAUACAGUUAUGUUUAUAUUGUAUAUAUACAGUGAUCAUUGUUCAUUCAUUCUUGCCUGAAGUAAGAGUUUUUAACAAGAAAAACAACAGCAAAACCAGCAACCUCGCAAUUAAUCUCAGUCUAUAUUUAACACACAAUAUCCUGUUCGUUUCUUUACGAAAUCGAUAUUUCCGAUUCAAU